UGUCAAGGUAGGCAGGCUAAGUACGCGACGUCCUGUCGCGACGCUUGCAUGACUCGCAUCCUGCGAG
rfam:Sporosarcina sp. HYO08 scaffold_3, whole genome shotgun sequence.